UGCAGUGCUCUGGGGAAGGGAGACACAGUGGGGAAUCCACACCCACCUGUCUUGAACCUGGGCUUUGGACACAGACAACCACACCCUGAGCAGACGUAGCUGAGAGGCACGCAUCCAGAUGUUAUCCCCGAUAUCCAGGGGCACCUGCCUUGCAUGAAUGUGAAGCCGGACAGCGGUGGACACCAAGCCUGGUACAGAUACAAGGAAGAGAAAACGAGCAAGAGGAGGGCUGCUGGAGGGAACAGAGAAGACAGGAGCCAUGGCCAGGUUCCAGGAACCUGUUUCUCAUUUACGUUUCCCGUUCAACUACCCACCGUGUCCCGGAUGGAAAAACUGAGGGGGCACAAGAAAGGAAGGCUGUGAAGCACUGUCCACAGUGAGAAGAGAGUGCUCUUAACAGUGAUUGGCAGGUAAUUCUUCUCUCGAAUUCUGCUUGGUACGAGUACUCAAUCGGCAACAGG